GACGAACGCUGGCGGCGUGCUUAACACAUGCACGUCGAACGGAAAGGCCCUGCUUUUGUGGGGUGCUCGAGUGGCGAACGGGUGAGUAACACGUGAGUAACCUGCCCUUGACUUUGGGAUAACUUCAGGAAACUGGGGCUAAUACCGGAUAGGAGCUCCUGCUGCAUUGUGGGGGUUGGACAGUUUCGGCGGUUGGGGAUGGACUCGCGGCUUAUCAGCUUGUUGGUGGGGUAGUGGCUUACCAAGGCUUUGACGGGUAGCCGGCCUGAGAGGGUGACCGGCCACAUUGGGACUGAGAUACGGCCCAGACUCCUACGGGAGGCAGCAGUGGGGAAUAUUGCACAAUGGGCGGAAGCCUGAUGGAGCAACGCCGCGUGCGGGAUGACGGCCUUCGGGUUGUAAACCGCUUUCGCCUGUGACGAAGCGUGAGUGACGGUAAUGGGUAAAGAAGCACCGGCUAACUACGUG
rnacentral:rRNA from 1 species